GUUCGGUGGAAACGAGAAUAAAACGUGAAGGAUAACGUUGCGUAAGCAACGGCCCGUAGGGCGAGGCAAAGCCGAGUCAUCCUGCACAACCCACCA
rnacentral:sRNA from 1 species